CUGAGCUUUCGCUCACCAUCCACCACUGCUGUUUGCCACUGUCGCAGACCCACCGCCGACUCCCAUCCCUCUGGAUCCGGCAGGGUGUCCGCUGAGCUCCUGAUACGGCGAGACUCCCAUUGCCACUCCCGAUCAUGCUAAAGGCUUGCCAUUGUUCCUGCAACGUUAAGUGCCUGGGUUCGUCCUAAUCGAGCUGAACACUAGUCACUGGGUUCCAUGGUUCUCUUCCGUGACCCACGGCUUCUAAUAGAGCUAUAACACUCACUGCAUGGCCCAAGAUUCCAUUCCUUGGAAUCCGUGAGGCCAAGAACCCCAGGUCAGAGAAGACGAGGCUUGCCACCAUCUUGGAAGCGGCCCGCCACCAUCUUGGAAGUGGCUCGCCACCAUCUUGGGAGCUCUGUGAGCAAGGACCUCCGGUAACAUUUUGGCGACCACGAAGGGACAUCCAAAGCUUAUUGCCUAACGGUCCACAAUAAAACAUUCUCACUUUGGUAACUGUAUAAAAAUAGAAGUACAUUACAUAAAAAAGUGUUUAAGCAAGAUCAGCUUACUCUGAGCAGAACCAGAGAAACAAGAAGGUGCAGGUGAUGGUAAACAUGGAUUCAGCAUUUACGAUCAGGAGGUAUACUCCAAGUAGAUUGAACAGAACUCUUGGCAUAUGAAUGACUACUCCACCUGGACAAGGAACAUCAGUACCAAAAUUCACCCCCUCUGCUGUUGUAAAGAUACCUACAAAUUCUUGACUACUUGUCCUGUUGUAAGAUGGAGGCUAGUUCCCCUCCUCUUAAAAUUGGGCUGACUUUACUUACUUGCUAGACAAAUAGAAUGUGACGGAAGUGAUGUUCUUGGACUUCCUACACUAGAAAAGAGCUUUGCAGUUUCCUGCUUAGAAUCCUCUUAUAACACUUAUUGCUAUAUUGUGAAGAAUCCAAACAGUCCAACUUGAGAGAAAUCAAGGCACUCAGUAGACAACCCUGGCUGAGUUUCCAGCUAGCAGCCAGAAACAACAUGCCAGCCUUGGAAGUGCACUGUCUUAAGUGGCUCGAUCCUCCAACUUCGGUCUAGCAGCCCCAGCUGAAGCCAUGCAAAGCAGAGACAAGUUUUCCAGCUAAGCCGUGUGAAAAUGACAAAUUUCUCACUAUCCUUGACAGAGAAGAAAGGACUUAGAACCGGAAUUCAACUUUGUGACCAUAAUCUGCCACCAGGGAAACCACAUGAGAAGAGAAGUUGUUCAAUUGUCCUGGGCAAUAGACUACUGGAGAGAUUUGAAGCUAAACUGCCUUAGUUCAAGUCUUAGUUCUGUCACACAGUAACCAGCUAUUCUACUUCUACUGUUCAUCGGUUGAAAUGGUCAUCAAAAUGUAAUAAGUUGAUCGAAGACUCUCAGAUAUUACUUUAGAAUAUAUUCCUUUUAUGAAAGCUGCAUCUGUAUUUGACUUGGUAAGAUAAUAAAUUCAAGAAAAGCCCAACUGGGACCUCUAACAUACUCUUCUACAAUAUAUGAAUUUUAUACUAAAUAAGACUAUAAUAUUCUCCUCUACAAGUGGAAACCACAUCCCCAUAGGAAAUCGAGAUGCUAAACUAUUAAUAGUUUACCCAGGUUUUCUCUGCCUACCAUGGAACCUUAAACUUCAUCACAGCCUAAGCACUGUAAAACAUUAUAAUUUAUGUUCAUAUAAAUGAAACUCUCUAGACAUUCUUCAUCUUGUCUACUACUUAAUGUUUCUGAUGUUUUUAAGACAGAGAAGUUCUCUGCAUUCAACCUGAGAAAAGACAAUGUCAAAAUAAAUUUAUAUAUCAAAUAAAUACUGUCAGAAGCAUUGCUAUAAGUCUGGUAAUGUUUUAAAAUGUUGUGCCAGUAA
rnacentral:lncRNA from 1 species